rnacentral:rRNA from 1 species
GACGAACGCUGGCGGCGUGCUUAACACAUGCAAGUCGAACGGUGACCCUCGGAGCUUGCUUCGGGGUGAGCAGUGGCGAACGGGUGAGUAACACGUGAGUAACCUGCCCCUGACUCUGGAAUAAGCGCUGGAAACGGCGUCUAAUACCGGAUACGACACGCCUCCGCAUGGGGAGCGUGUGGAAAGUUUUUCGGUCUGGGAUGGACUCGCGGCCUAUCAGCUUGUUGGUGAGGUAAUGGCUCACCAAGGCGAUGACGGGUAGCCGGCCUGAGAGGGCGACCGGCCACACUGGGACUGAGACACGGCCCAGACUCCUACGGGAGGCAGCAGUGGGGAAUAUUGCACAAUGGGCGAAAGCCUGAUGCAGCGACGCCGCGUGAGGGAUGACGGCCUUCGGGUUGUAAACCUCUUUCAGCAGGGAAGAAGCGAAAGUGACGGUACCUGCAGAAGAAGCACCGGCUAACUACGUGCCAGCAGCCGCCGUAAAAC